GCGACCUUAGCUCAUCCGGGAGAGCGUCAGACUGGAGUCCAAACUUCAUUAUCUAUCUGAAGGUAGUGUGUUCGAUCUACACAGGUCGCA